rnacentral:lncRNA from 1 species
AAGAAAUAAUAAAAAAAUUUAAGAAAUAUUAGAAAUGAAAUUUUUAAAGAAAUAAUAAAUAAUCCUAAAGAAAUAUCAAAAAUAAAAACUUAAAUAUAAUCCAAAUUAAAGUCCUAAUUGAAUCUUAAUCAAAUACUAUGUCAAAUCUUAAUCAAAUCCUAAAUAAAUUCUAAUCAAAUCUUUGUUAAGUCCUAAACCAAAUCUUAAUCCUAACUAAU